AUACGGAGGGUGCAAGCGUUAUUCGGAAUCACUGGGCGUAAAGGGUGCGUAGGCGGUUUGAUAAGUCUGAUGUGAAAUCCUAUGGCUCAACCAUAGAACUGCAUUGGAAACUGUCAGACUAGAAUACUGAAGGGGCAGAUGGGAUUAGUGGUGUAGGGGUAAAAUCCGUAGAUAUCACUAGGAAUACCGAAAGCGAAAGCGAUCUGCUGGGAAGUUAUUGACGCUGAGGCACGAAAGCGUGGGGAGCAAACAGGAUUAGAAACCCUAGUAGUCC
rnacentral:rRNA from 1 species